rnacentral:rRNA from 1 species
AGUGAACGCUGGCGGUAGGCCUAACACAUGCAAGUCGAACGGCAGCACAGAGGAGCUUGCUCCUUGGGUGGCGAGUGGCGGACGGGUGAGGAAUACAUCGGAAUCUACCCUGUCGUGGGGGAUAACGUAGGGAAACUUACGCUAAUACCGCAUACGACCUACGGGUGAAAGCAGGGGAUCUUCGGACCUUGCGCGAUUGAAUGAGCCGAUGUCGGAUUAGCUAGUUGGCGGGGUAAAGGCCCACCAAGGCGACGAUCCGUAGCUGGUCUGAGAGGAUGAUCAGCCACACUGGAACUGAGACACGGUCCAGACUCCUACGGGAGGCAGCAGUGGGGAAUAUUGGACAAUGGGCGCAAGCCUGAGCCAGCCAUACCGCGUGGGUGAAGAAGGCCUUCGGGUUGUAAAGCCCUUUUGUUGGGAAAGAAAUCCAUCUGGUUAAUACCCGGGUGGGAUGACGGUACCCAAAGAAUAAGCACCGGCUAACUUCGUGCCAGCCGCCGCAGUAA